rnacentral:misc_RNA from 1 species
GAUGAAGAACGUAGCGAAAUGCGAUACGUAAUGUGAAUUGCAGAAUUCAGUGAAUCAUCGAAUCUUUGAACGCACAUUGCGCCCGCCAGCAUUCUGGCGGGCAUGCCUGUCCGAGCGUCAUUUCAACCCUCAAGCCCCAGCGGCCUGGUGUUGGGGGACGGCCGCCUCCACAGCGGAGCGGCCGCCCCCGAAAUGAAUUGGCGGCCUCGGCGCCGCCUCCCCCUGCGUAGUAGCGACAGCAGUCUCGCACCGGGAGCGCGCCGCGGCCACUGCCGUAAAACGCCCAACUUUUUCAACGAGUUGACCUCGGAUCAGGUAGGACUACCCGCUGAACUUAAGCAUAUCAAUAAGCGGAGGA